UGGGGAAUCUUGCACAAUGGGGGCAACCCUGAUGCAGCGACGCCGCGUGAGCGAUGAAGCCCUUCGGGGCGUAAAGCUCUUUCGACCGGAACGAUAAUGACGGUACCGGGAGAAGAAGCUGCGGCUAACUACGUGCCAGCAGCCGCGGUAAUACGUAGGCAGCAAGCGUUGUUCGGAGUUACUGGGCGUAAAGAGUGCGUAGGCGGUUUUCUAAGUUCGGUGUGGAAUCUCCCGGCUUAACUGGGAGGGUGCGCCGAAGACUGGGAAGCUGGAGUGUGGGAAAGGCAGGCGGAAUUCCUGGUGUAGCGGUGAAAUGCGUAGAUAUCAGGAGGAACACCGGCGGUGUAGACGGCUUGCUAGACCAUGACUGACGCUGAGGCACGAAAGCGUGGGUAGCAAACA
rnacentral:rRNA from 1 species